rnacentral:rRNA from 1 species
GCGAUACAGGGUGACAGCCCCGUACACAAAAAUGCACAUAUUGUGAGCUCGAUGAGUAGGGCGGGACACGUGGUAUCCUGUCUGAAUAUGGGGGGACCAUCCUCCAAGGCUAAAUACUCCUGACUGACCGAUAGUGAACCAGUACCGUGAGGGAAAGGCGAAAAGAACCCCGGCGAGGGGAGUGAAAAAGAACCUGAAACCGUGUACGUACAAGCAGUGGGAGCCUCUUAAUGGGGUGACUGCGUACCUUUUGUAUAAUGGGUCAGCGACUUAUAUUCUGUAGCAAGGUUAACCGAAUAGGGGAGCCGAAGGGAAACCGAGUCUUAACUGGGCGUUAAGUUGCAGGGUAUAGACCCGAAACCCGGUGAUCUAGCCAUGGGCAGGUUGAAGGUUGGGUAACACUAACUGGAGGACCGAACCGACUAAUGUUGAAAAAUUAGCGGAUGACUUGUGGCUGGGGGUGAAAGGCCAAUCAAACCGGGAGAUAGCUGGUUCUCCCCGAAAGCUAUUUAGGUAGCGCCUCGUGAAUUCAUCUCCGGGGGUAGAGCACUGUUUCGGCAAGGGGGUCAUCCCGACUUACCAACCCGAUGCAAACUGCGAAUACCGGAGAAUGUUAUCACGGGAGACACACGGCGGGUGCUAACGUCCGUCGUGAAGAGGGAAACAACCCAGACCGCCAGCUAAGGUCCCAAAGUCAUGGUUAAGUGGGAAACGAUGUGGGAAGGCCCAGACAGCCAGGAUGUUGGCUUAGAAGCAGCCAUCAUUUAAAGAAAGCGUAAUAGCUCACUGGUCGAGUCGGCCUGCGCGGAAGAUGUAACGGGGCUAAACCAUGCACCGAAGCUGCGGCAGCGACACUAUGUGUUGUUGGGUAGGGGAGCGUUCUGUAAGCCUGUGAAGGUGGCCUGUGAGGGUUGCUGGAGGUAUCAGAAGUGCGAAUGCUGACAUAAGUAACGAUAAAGCGGGUGAAAAGCCCGCUCGCCGGAAGACCAAGGGUUCCUGUCCAACGUUAAUCGGGGCAGGGUGAGUCGACCCCUAAGGCGAGGCCGAAAGGCGUAGUCGAUGGGAAACAGGUUAAUAUUCCUGUACUUGGUGUUACUGCGAAGGGGGGACGGAGAAGGCUAUGUUGGCCGGGCGACGGUUGUCCCGGUUUAAGCGUGUAGGCUGGUUUUCCAGGCAAAUCCGGAAAACCAAGGCUGAGGCGUGAUGACGAAGCACUACGGUGCUGAAGCGACAAAUGCCCUGCUUCCAGGAAAAGCCUCUAAGCAUCAGGUAACAUCAAAUCGUACCCCAAACCGACACAGGUGGUCAGGUAGAGAAUACCAAGGCGCUUGAGAGAACUCGGGUGAAGGAACUAGGCAAAAUGGUGCCGUAACUUCGGGAGAAGGCACGCUGAUAUGUAGGUGAAGCGACUUGCUCGUGGAGCUGAAAUCAGUCGAAGAUACCAGCUGGCUGCAACUGUUUAUUAAAAACACAGCACUGUGCAAACACGAAAGUGGACGUAUACGGUGUGACGCCUGCCCGGUGCCGGAAGGUUAAUUGAUGGGGUUAGCGGCAACGCGAAGCUCUUGAUCGAAGCCCCGGUAAACGGCGGCCGUAACUAUAACGGUCCUAAGGUAGCGAAAUUCCUUGUCGGGUAAGUUCCGACCUGCACGAAUGGCGUAAUGAUGGCCAGGCUGUCUCCACCCGAGACUCAGUGAAAUUGAACUCGCUGUGAAGAUGCAGUGUACCCGCGGCAAGACGGAAAGACCCCGUGAACCUUUACUAUAGCUUGACACUGAACAUUGAGCCUUGAUGUGUAGGAUAGGUGGGAGGCUUUGAAGUGUGGACGCCAGUCUGCAUGGAGCCGACCUUGAAAUACCACCCUUUAAUGUUUGAUGUUCUAACGUUGGCCCGUAAUCCGGGUUGCGGACAGUGUCUGGUGGGUAGUUUGACUGGGGCGGUCUCCUCCUAAAGAGUAACGGAGGAGCACGAAGGUUGGCUAAUCCUGGUCGGACAUCAGGAGGUUAGUGCAAUGGCAUAAGCCAGCUUGACUGCGAGCGUGACGGCGCGAGCAGGUGCGAAAGCAGGUCAUAGUGAUCCGGUGGUUCUGAAUGGAAGGGCCAUCGCUCAACGGAUAAAAGGUACUCCGGGGAUAACAGGCUGAUACCGCCCAAGAGUUCAUAUCGACGGCGGUGUUUGGCACCUCGAUGUCGGCUCAUCACAUCCUGGGGCUGAAGUAGGUCCCAAGGGUAUGGCUGUUCGCCAUUUAAAGUGGUACGCGAGCUGGGUUUAGAACGUCGUGAGACAGUUCGGUCCCUAUCUGCCGUGGGCGCUGGAGAACUGAGGGGGGCUGCUCCUAGUACGAGAGGACCGGAGUGGACGCAUCACUGGUGUUCGGGUUGUCAUGCCAAUGGCACUGCCCGGUAGCUAAAUGCGGAAGAGAUAAGUGCUGAAAGCAUCUAAGCACGAAACUUGCCCCGAGAUGAGUUCUCCCUGAGACUUAGAGUCUCCUGAAGGAACGUUGAAGACGACGACGUUGAUAGGCCGGGUGUGUAAGCGCAGCGAUGCGUUGAGCUAACCGGUACUAAUGAACCGUGAGGCUUAACCUU